AGAGCGAACGCUGGCGGCAGGCUUAACACAUGCAAGUCGAGCGGGCGUAGCAAUACGUCAGCGGCAGACGGGUGAGUAACGCGUGGGAACGUACCUUUUGGUUCGGAACAACCCAGGGAAACUUGGGCUAAAUACCGGAUAAGCCCUUACGGGGAAAGAUUUAUCGCCGAAAGAUCGGCCCGCGUCUGAUUAGCUAGUUGGUGGGGUAAUGGCCCACCAAGGCGACGAUCAGUAGCUGGUCUGAGAGGAUGAUCAGCCACAUUGGGACUGAGACACGGCCCAAACUCCUACGGGAGGCAGCAGUGGGGAAUAUUGGACAAUGGGCGCAAGCCUGAUCCAGCCAUGCCGCGUGAGUGAUGAAGGCCCUAGGGUUGUAAAGCUCUUUUGUGCGGGAAGAUAAUGACGGUACCGCAAGAUAAGCCCCGGCUAACUUCGUGCCAGCAGCCGC
rnacentral:rRNA from 1 species